rnacentral:lncRNA from 1 species
CUGUCAGACAGUUUUCACUUGACCUCGACCUCAUUUCAUGGAUCAGUGAACAAGGUUAAGUUUUGGUGGUCAAGUCCAUAUCUCAGAUACUACAAGCAAUAGGGCUAGUAUAUUCGGUGUAUGGAAGGACUGUAAGGUGUUCAUGUCCAACUGGCAGGUGUCAUCUGACCUUGACCUCAUUUUCAUGGUUCAGUGGUUAUAGUUAAAUUUUUGUGUUUUGGUCUGUUUUUCUCAUACUAUAUGCAAUAGGUCUACUAUAUUUGUUGUAUGAAAUGAUUGUGAGGUGUACCUAUCUAGCCGGCAGAUGUCAUGUGACCUUGACCUCAUUUUCAUGGUUCAGUGGUCAAAGUUAAGUUUUUGAGUUUUGGUCUUUUUAUCUAAUACUAUAUGCCAUAGGUCAUCUAUAUUUGGUGUAUGGAAAUAUUUUAUGAUCUUUAUGUCAGUCGCGCAAGUUUUAUUUGACCGUGACCUCAUUUUCACGGUUCAUUGCACAGUGUUAAGUUUUUGUGUUUUGGUCUAUUUUUCUUAAACUAUAAGUAAUAAGUCAACUAUAUAUGUUGUAUAGAAGCAUUGUUAGCUGUACAUGUCUGCCUGGCAUGGUUCAUCUGACCUUGACCUCAUUUUCAAGGUUCAUUGGUCUUUGUUUAGUUAUCUUGGUUAAUGUUAAGUUUAUG